GCCCCGGUGGCACAGUGGUUAAGCGCUUGGCUGCUAACCAAGAGGUCAGUGGUUCAAACCCACCAGCUGUA
rfam:Loxodonta africana unplaced genomic scaffold scaffold_64, whole genome shotgun sequence.